GAGCUUGCUCCACCGGAAAAAGAAGAGUGGCGAACGGGUGAGUAACACGUGGGUAACCUGCCCAUCAGAAGGGGAUAACACUUGGAAACAGGUGCUAAUACCGUAUAACAAUCGAAACCGCAUGGUUUUGAUUUGAAAGGCGCUUUCGGGUGUCGCUGAUGGAUGGACCCGCGGUGCAUUAGCUAGUUGGUGAGGUAACGGCUCACCAAGGCCACGAUGCAUAGCCGACCUGAGAGGGUGAUCGGCCACAUUGGGACUGAGACACGGCCCAAACUCCUACGGGAGGCAGCAGUAGGGAAUCUUCGGCAAUGGACGAAAGUCUGACCGAGCAACGCCGCGUGAGUGAAGAAGGUUUUCGGAUCGUAAAACUCUGUUGUUAGAGAAGAACAAGGAUGAGAGUAACUGUUCAUCCCUUGACGGUAUCUAACCAGAAAGCCACGGCUAACUACGUGCCAGCAGCCGCGGUAAUACGUAGGUGGCAAGCGUUGUCCGGAUUUAUUGGGCGUAAAGCGAGCGCAGGCGGUUUCUUAAGUCUGAUGUG
rnacentral:rRNA from 1 species